AAUGGGUGCCGGCGUCCUCGGACGCCCGCGGAAAUCCAAUGAUAAAGCGGGACGGGCCCGCCCCCGCCCCCGCCCCCGCCGGGGCCGACGCCCACUGCGCCCUGCAAGUUCUGGGCGUGAGUCCCCGAGUGAGGAGGAGGAGAGCCCACAAGAGCCAGGUGCGCUGGCCUUGGUGCUGAAGGUUUCUUUCCAUCGUUUGAUUUAAACAUUAUUGUGGGCAGGUUUGGACAGAGAGCAAAAUUUAUCAAAGCCAAGAGCUAUUCACCCAUUCUACUCCCUUGAUAGUAUCAGGUUCUGUGCUAUCUCUGGGAUCAUAAAAAGAUGAUUCCACCUCAGAAAAAGAAACGAUGGCUGAGACAGAGUGAUCUUAGAAAGGUGCAUCUGCGAAGGCAAAAGAAACAAAAGCAAAAAUGAACUAUUGGGACUUCAUCAAGAUAAGAAGCUUUUGCACAGCAAAGGAUACAGUCAACAAAACUCAAAGACAACCUACAGAAUGGG